AGAAAUAUCCAAACAACCGGUAAAAGCAAUUGGAAUGGUGAAAUAUUGUGGGGGGACAAAAACAGAACCCAGAUGCAAACAAAACACACUCAAACCAGUUGUUGUCAUAUUAAAACACUCACUCAAUUCAAAAAAUUCAACUCAACUCCAACAACAACUGGAGUGUAGGGUUGUUUUGGAUUGGAUUUUGUGUCGCCUUCAUCCAACAUCGUUGUCGUCGCCGUUUGCCGCGUUCGCAUUUUCCGUGGCUCCGCUUCAGGUUCAGUCGAAGUUGAGCACUUUCUGUUGUUCCACUACAGCAGUUAAAGAAGCUACAAACCACACACAAUUCGAGUGUGUCAACGUUCGUUCGUUCGAAGUAGGAAAAAGCGUGCGUGUUUGAGAGCUGUCAUUUAUCGUAAUUCUCAAAGUCGAUGGUUUUCAGAUGUUUUUGUCGUAAUUUUGUCUGUUGUUUUUUUCUGCAUUUCGCCGGUUACUAGUUCUUAGAUUGUCCUUCGAGUAGAUGGAUGAUGAACAUUUUUGUCAUCCUUGAAAGUUUGAUUUUGAAAAGAACUACUGUCAUUGUCGUUGUUAUAAACAAAACACCCUGUUUGUUUUGAAGAAAUGGCCGUAUUAGCAUUCGGUUAAUUUACCGCUAAUUUCUAUUCUAACACAAAUAUUAUACCGUUAUUGCUAGCUGCCAUUUUUAUGCAAAGUAUUUUUAAUGGUGAAAAAUAGUGCUCGUGUGAUUGAGUGAGUGGCGAUUGGGCCCUUUUUUUCUGUGUUCAACUACCGGAUAUCCGGAUUGGAAAAUUGUGUUUGAGUGCGCUCUAAUUUGGCGCUAAAAAUUACAAAUUCAAAAGUGAAUUUAAAAAAUACGAUAAAGGAUAAAAAAAUUGUUUUUGUUGUUUCUUUUAAAUUUAUUUUCUUUUAUGAAUGACCAUUGACCAAGAGGACAAACAUAAAACCGGAUAUCACAAAAGCCUCUUUUGCAGAGAAACAGAUUACUUUCCGGUCUCAUCGCAUCAAUUAAGAUGUCAAACGAUGGUCAGUUUAUGAUCUCUGCACUUCUUCAACAAACCAAAUUACCAACAACCAAGUUCUUCAGCAAAACAUCAACUUCUCAAUUUAAUUAUGACAUAAAUGUCACACUUUUUGCAGAAGAUGUUGCAAAAUUCUCAGCAAAUGCGAUGAACAAUAAUAAUUAUUAUUUUUAUCGCAAUACGUUUAUUAAUAAAACUCGAUCUAAUCCAGGGAUUGGUGCUGUACAAUUAAUACUUCGUUGUCGUCGUUUCCUUACGUUUUCGUCUCGUCGUCGUCGGUCAUAAAAUCAUCCUUUCAAUAUUAACAAAAAAUACAAAAAAAAAAAAACAAACUCGGCGACGUAAUUAAAAUUCAGAACGCCGGACGUUGCAACUACAGAAUUUAUGUGACAAAUUUAACAGCCCACAAAUACGUUAAAUGCGAAUUUUACGUUUAUUGAAAUUCCGUGUUAGUGAGAGUAUAUUACAUGCGUGUCCCUCUGUUCAUCGUUUUACGUUUCGUCUUCGGUCGAUUGGGUAAAUUCUGUGUAUUUCUUUAAAGCAAUCAUCGUCGAUGUAUGUAUAAAAAAAGAGUAUAAAUAAUAAAAUUGAAAAGAAAAUCGCUUCUUUUAUUUUUUUGUAAACAAUUAUAAGUGCCUAUACAGGAAAUUGGAAAAAUUGUGUUUGUAAUUGGAAAUAGUUAAAAAUAGUGUUUUAGUUUUGUUAAAAAAAAAAAAUAAAUUAAAAUCUUAAAUAAAAUCUUCUAACGAAAAAGUAUUGGUGAUUUUGGAGAGCUAAAGAUCUUGCAAACGGACUUAAAGAAGGUAAACAUUCCACUGGAAUAUAAUUCGAGGUUCUUUUCAAACACUCAUAUAAAUAUACAGUUACUAGGUCUUUACCUAUUGUUUGACAUUAAUGAAACGUUUUGUAAGUAGAACAUUCCACAAACAUAUAUA